rnacentral:rRNA from 1 species
CAGUCGCCACGGUAAUACAGAGGUCUCAAGCGUUGUUCGGAUUCAUUGGGCGUAAAGGGUGCGUAGGUGGCGGGGUAAGUCAGGUGUGAAAUCUCGGGGCUCAACCUCGAGACUGCACUUGAUACUGCCUUGCUAGAGUAUUGGAGAGGAGAUUGGAAUUUACGGUGUAGCAGUGAAAUGCGUAGAUAUAUGGAGGAACACCGGUGGCGAAAGCGGCUCUCUGGCUUGUAACUGACGCUGAGGCUCGAAAGCGUGGGGAGCAAACAGGAUUAGAUACCCCCGUAGUCCCUGUCUCUUAUAC